rnacentral:rRNA from 1 species
AGUGAACGCUGGCGGUAGGCCUAACACAUGCAAGUCGAACGGCAGCACAGUAAGAGCUUGCUCUUACGGGUGGCGAGUGGCGGACGGGUGAGGAAUACAUCGGAAUCUACUUUUUCGUGGGGGAUAACGUAGGGAAACUUACGCUAAUACCGCAUACGACCUACGGGUGAAAGCAGGGGAGCUUCGGACCUUGCGCGAUUGAAUGAGCCGGUGUCGGAUUAGCUAGUUGGCGGGGUAAAGGCCCACCAAGGCGACGAACCGUAGCUGGUCUGAGAGGAUGAUCGGCCCCACUGGAACUGGGACACGGUCCAGACUCCUACGGGAGGCAGCAGUGGGGAAUAUUGGACAAUGGGCGCAAGCCUGAUCCAGCCAUACCGCGUGGGUGAGGGAGGCCUUCGGGUUGUAAAGCCCUUUUGUUGGGAAAGAAAAGCAGCAGGUUAAUACCCCGCUGUUCUGACGGUACCCAAAGAAUAAGCACCGGCUAACUUCGCG